rnacentral:lncRNA from 1 species
ACCAUAAGAUCUAUUCCACACAAGUACAACUACAAGAAAAUGAUAUUAACUUAUUUAAAUGGCACAAUAAAGUAUGGGUGGACCCAUAACCUAUUGAAGAAAUGUGAUAAGCAAGAUACAAGUAAGUAGAAAUUAACAAGGUUGCAUAUAAGAGAAGUAUGAAAUGAGAUACCUCCCACUUCCAACACCCUUUACUUAUAGGUAGAGUUUAUAUCUAUUAUGUCUGAACUUCAUCUUCAUCUAUCUUUGCUUCAUCCUAUGAAACCCUAACUACCACAUAU